rnacentral:rRNA from 1 species
AAAAUGACUCUCGGCAACGGAUAUCUCGGCUCUUGCAUCGAUGAAGAACGUAGCGAAAUGCGAUACUUGGUGUGAAUUGCAGAAUCCCGUGAACCAUCGAGUCUUUGAACGCAAGUUGCGCCCGAAGCCACUAGGCCGAGGGCACGCCUGCCUGGGUGUCACAC